AACGAACGCUGGCGGCAGGCUUAACACAUGCAAGUCGAACGCCCCGCAAGGGGAGUGGCAGACGGGUGAGUAACACGUGGGAACGUGCCCUUCGCUUCGGGAUAGCCUCGGGAAACUGGGAGUAAUACCGAAUACGCCGUAUUGGGAAAGAUUUAUCGGCGAAGGAUCGGCCCGCGUUGGAUUAGCUAGUUGGCGGUGUAAUGGACCACCAAGGCGACGAUCCUUAGCUGGUCUGAGAGGAUGAUCAGCCACACUGGGACUGAGACACGGCCCAGACUCCUACGGGAGGCAGCAGUGGGGAAUAUUGGACAAUGGGCGAAAGCCUGAUCCAGCAAUGCCGCGUGAGUGAUGAAGGCCUUAGGGUUGUAAAGCUCUUUUACCCGGGAUGAUAAUGACAGUACCGGGAGAAUAAGCCCCGGCUAACUCCGUGCCAGCAGCCGCGGUAAU
rnacentral:rRNA from 1 species